ensembl:lncRNA
CGGUUUUAUUACAUUGUAAAUCGAAAAGUUAUUACAUUAACCGUUGUUACAAGACACAGCAUACAUAGUUCAUGCCUAGACCUCAUGGAUAUUAUUAUUCAAAAUAAUAUUGAUUAGUUUUAGGAACAUAGGUCAAUUUAGAUUUGUUUAUUAUUAUAAUAAAAAAUAUAACAUUAGUGAUAUAUUCAUGUUUAGAAUACAAUGGAUUGAAUUUAUUGAUCAAUUGAAUACAUUAAUAUAUACCCAUUGUUGAAACCUUAUUCCGCGUGAGAUUUAAUGACAAUAGUAUCAUGAGUAUAUGAAAGAAGAUUAUCCCCCCACACACAGGUUCACUGUAACAUCUUCUAUGAUAACAUUUAUCCACUCAAAUCACAAAUGUAUGAUAUUACAUAGACACAGGGGAGACCUGAUCCUAGAUCAGAGCUGCAUAUUAUGCUCCACAGAGGUUACCAUGGUGAUCAGACUGAGGCAACUGUUUAAGAAUGGGAGAUGGAUAUGACUGUUCACUAGAUGUUUUCUAUUGAUCCAUUAUUUAGGGAUCUAGAACGGUCCGGAUAGGAGGGAGAUGAAAUAUGUCAUGCUUGUGUUUUCUCAUUGGCCCUAAAUGAACGAAGCUCUUCCCACAUACAGUACCAGUCAAAAGUUUGGACACACCUACCCAUUCAAGGUUGUUGUUUUAAACUAUUUUCUACAUUGUAGAAUAAUAAAGAAUCAAAUCAAAACUUCAUUUGUCACAUGCGCUGAAAACAAGUGCAGACCUGGCCAUCAAAUGCUUACUUUACAAGCCCUUAACCAACAGUGCAGUUCAAGAAGAUGAACUAAAGUAAAAAUGUGUAAAAAAAGUAACACAAAAAACAUAACAGUAACGAGGCUAUAUACAGGGGGUACCAGUACCGAGUCAGUGUGGAGGCUAUAUACAGGGGGUACCGGUACCGAGUCAGUGUGGAGGCUAUAUAAAGGGGGUACCGGUACCAAGUCAGUGUGGAGGCUAUAUACAGGGGGUACCAGUACAGAGUCAGUGUGGAGGCUAUAUACAGGGGGUACCAGUACAGAGUCAGUGUGGAGGCUAUAUACAGGGGGUACCAGUACCGAGUCAGUGUGGAGGCUAUAUAAAGGGGGUACCAGUACCGAGUCAGUGUGGAGGUUAGAGGUCAUUUGUACAUGUAGGUCGGGGUGAAGUGACUAUGCAUAGAUAAUAAACAGCGAGUAGCAGCAGUGUACAAAACAAAUGAGGGGGGGGGGUCAAUGUAAUAGAUGGGUGGCCUCUGUACUACCCUCUGUAGCGCCUUACGGUCAGAUGCCGAGCAGUUGCCAUACCAGGCGGUGAUGCAACAGUUCAGGAUGCUCUCGAUGGUGCAGCUGUAGAACCUUUUGAGGAUCUGAGGACCCAUGCCAAAUCUUAUCAGUCUCCUGAGGUGGAAUAGGAUUUGUCGUGUCCUCAUCACAACUGUCUUGGUGUGUUUGGACCAUGUUAGAUCUUUGGUGAUGUGGACACCAAGGAACUUGAAACUCUUAACUCGCUCCACUACAGCCCGUUGAUGUUAAUGUGGGCCUGUUCGGCCCUCCUUUUCCUGUAGUCCAUGAUCAGCUACUUUGUCUUGCUCACAUUGUGGGAGAAGUUGCUGUCCUGGC